UACGGGGGGGGCAAGCGUUGUUCGGAAUUACUGGGCGUAAAGGGCUCGUAGGCGGCCAACUAAGUCAGACGUGAAAUCCCUCGGCUUAACCGGGGAACUGCGUCUGAUACUGGAUGGCUUGAAUCCGGGAGAGGGAUGCAGAAUUCCAGGUGUAGCGGUGAAAUGCGUAGAUAUCUGGAGGAAUACCGGGGGCGAAGGCGGCAUCCUGGACCGGCAUUGACGCUGAGUGAGCGAAAGCCAGGGGAGCAAACGGG
rnacentral:rRNA from 1 species